AGCAGCCGCGGUAAUUCCAGCUCCAAUAGCGUAUAUUAAAGUUGCUGCAGUUAAAAAGCUCGUAGUUGAAUUUCGGGACUAAUAUGUCGGUCGUGCCUCGGUACGUACUGGUAUUUUGGUUUCUCCCUUCUGACGAACCUUGAUGUCAUUAAUUUGGUGUCUUGGGAAAUCAGGACUGUUACUUUGAAAAAAUUAGAGUGUUUAAAGCAGGCUCACGCUUGAAUACAUUAGCAUGGAAUAAUGAAAUAGGACGUUUGAUUCUAUUUUGUUGGUUUCUAGGAUCGACGUAAUGAUUAAUGGGGAUAGUUGGGGGCAUUAGUAUUCAAUUGUCAGAGGUGAAAUUCUUGGAUUUAUUGAAGACUAACUACUGCGAAAGCAUUUGCCAAGGAUGUUUUCAUUAAUCAAGAACGAAAGUUAGGGGAUCGAAGACGAUCAGAUACCGUCGUAGUCUUAACCAUAAACUAUGCCGACUAGGGAUCGGAUGAUGUUAAUUUUUAAUGACUCAUUCGGCGCCUUACGG
rnacentral:rRNA from 1 species